ACGAUGUGCACUAGGUCUUGGGCCACGGAAGGUUCAGUCCGGGAGUCAAACGGCGUUUAAGUGCACCGCCUGGGGAGUAUGCUCGCAAGGGUGAAACUCAAAGGAAUUGACGGGGCCCCGCACAAGCGGUGGAGCAUGUGGUCUAAUUCGAUGAUACGCGAGGAACCUUACCAGGGUUUGACAUAUGCCGGAAUGUGCAGGAAGACUGCGCAGCCCUUCGGGGCCGGUAUACAGGUGCUGCAUGGCCGUCGUCAGCUCGUGCCGUGAGGUGUUGGGUUAAGUCCCGCAACGAGCGCAACCCCUACCGUCUGUUGCCAGCAUUCAGUUGGGGACUCAGGCGGAACUGCUGGUGACAAACCGGAGGAAGGUGGGGACGACGUCAGGUCAUCAUGGCCCUUAUAUCCUGGGCUACACACGUGCUACAAUGGCCGGUACAGAGCGAAGCAACACCGCGAGGUAGAGCAAAUCGCAGAAAGCCGGUCUCAGUUCGGAUUGGAGUCUGAAACCCGACUCCAUGAAGUUGGAAUCGCUAGUAAUCGCGCAUCAGCAUGGCGCGGUGAAUACGUUCCCGGGCCUUGUACACACCGCCCGUCACACCACCCGAGUUGGGGGUACCCGAAGUCGUUUGCCUAACCUGCAAA
rnacentral:rRNA from 1 species